GGGGGUCAAGCAAUGGGGAACUCGAACCAAGUUAGAUGUAGUGUUUGAUGAUAAAUUCCUUCCGUUGAAUGAAAUAGUAGCAAGCUGAAGGGACAAAUUGGUUUAAUUGUGCGCAAUCCCCAUCGAGUUCCACUCACAUACCUAGACUGGAGGGUUGUGCCUAUUGAUAUUAAAGAUGUCAUUUGGAGAGAGAUUCAGGAUAAUGUGAAGGAUUGUCCAGAAGGAUUUUAUCGUGUUGUAAUGAGAGCAUGUAACAAGUUGUGGAAGGACCACAAAGAUGAAGGCUGCUGGACAGGUCAUGGACAAAAUGAGUAUCUUUAUUAAGACACGCAAUCCAAAAGACCCAAAUGUUAAAGACUUUGAGAUGAGCCACUUAGGAUGAUAGAGAUCCACGACAAGAUUUUCCAUGAGGUGUUCGGAAAGGAUGGACAUGGUUAUUGCCUUACUUAUAGGUCAGGAGUUCCACGAAGUGCAGUGUACCCGAAGAAUGCGGGCCCAUUAGAGGUGCCCUCAUCUUCAACAGUUGAUGAGAUCACUCGACAAGUACAAGAGAAGGUUACUAGUGAGAUUGAGAAAAGGCUUGCCGCUGAGAUGGAGGAACAACUAACAGGGGAGAUUGAAUAGAGGCUUACUGGUGAGAUUGAGAAGAAGUUGAAUGAGAAGUUCAUGGCACAGUGGAAGCAUAAGGAGGCUCAAAUGGAUUUGUGUGAAUCCCAGGCAAGAGUAGAUGCCUCCAGACAGGGGUUACCAUAAUCCAAAUGCCUUUGUGGUCACAAAAGAAACCUCCAAAUCCAGCUUUCCUCGCCCUUUCAUAGAGGCAGCCAUCAGUAUUGAGUCUCAUACGCAGUUGCCACAGUGAAAUUCCCAUUCUGGCUGUUGCUUAUGCAUUUUUUUGUUCAUAGUUUUUGUUGUAGCUCCUAUUGAUUUGGUUCUCUUUCAAGCUAUGCACGCCAUGUUCAUGUCAUACCUACCAUGUUUGUUGCUGCUAGUUUGGGUAUUGUUUUGUUUAGUUGCUUAUUGGAUUUUAUUAUAGUCUAGGUAGCUUAGCAGCUCAAUUUGGCCUUGGAAUUUAUAUCCUAAAGAAACUGGAUACAUUAUUACAUCAACUCAAGUACAUGUGU